AUGCAGCGUUUGCGCUGCCGCCUCGCUCGAAUCACGUCGCCGCCAGCGGCCGAGAGAGAGGAGAAGAAAGAGACGUCCAUGGAGAACCCCAGGCCCCUACCCCCUGCCAUCACCCCUCCCAUGGCUCCCCUCCCCGUCCACCCACCCAUCGCCCCCGUCCCCGUCCCCGUGCCACCCCGCGCCCCCGCCUCCACAUCCGCCGCUGCCGGAGGCGGAGACGAUGACGAGGUCGACUACGAGGUCUCCGACGACCACCGCGCCGCGCGGGAGCGCCACGAGCGCGCCGUACAGGAGCUCCUGCAGCGCCGGCGCGCCUACGCCAUGGCCGUGCCCACCAAUGACUCCGCCGUGCGCGCGCGCCUCCGCCGUCUCGGCGAGCCCAUCACGCUCUUCGGCGAGGGCGCGAUGGAGCGCCGCGACCGCCUGCGCGCGCUCAUGGCCCGCCUCGAGGCCGAGGGCCAGUUCGACCGCCUCCUCCGCGCGCAGGAGGACGAACGGGGAGCCUCGGGCGACGACGACGACGAGGGCACGGAGCAGAUCAAGUACCCGUUCUUCACCGAGGGGACCAACCAACUGCUCCAGGCGCGCAUUGACAUCGCCAUGUACUCACUGCCCCGCGCCAAGGCCAGGGUCGAGAGGGCCAAGCGACGCCUCGCCGACCUCGACGAGGACCCCGAGGCAGAGGCCGCCCUUGUUGUGAAGCAGGCGGCGGACUUCGCGCUUGAGCGCAGCGAGAUUGGAGACGACCGCCCGCUCACCGGCUGCUCCUUCUCCCGGGAUGCCUCGAUGCUCGCCACAAGUUCCUGGAGUGGGAUCGUCAAAGUGUGGAGCAUGCCACAGAUAGCCAAGAUUGCAACCCUGAAAGGCCAUACAGAACGUGCAACUGAUGUUGCCUUCUCCCCAGUCGACAACUGCUUAGCGACAGCCUCAGCUGAUAAAACUGCCAAAUUGUGGAACAGCGAUGGCUCACUUCUGAUGUCUUUUGAUGGUCACCUGGAUCGUCUUGCUCGCCUUGCUUUUCAUCCAUCUGGAAAGUACCUUGGUACAGCUAGCUUUGACAAGACCUGGAGAUUGUGGGACAUCAACACUGGAACUGAACUUCUACUCCAGGAGGGACAUAGCAGAAGUGUAUAUGGUGUCAGCUUUCACCCAGACGGUUCUUUAGCUGCAUCUUGUGGGUUUGAUGCGAGUGCUCGAGUUUGGGAUUUAAGGUCAGGAAGAUUGUACUGUACCCUCAUUGGAAAUGUGAAACCUGUCCUAGGAGUCGGCUUCUCCCCUAAUGGUCAUCUGGUUGCAACCACAAGUGAAGACAAUUUCUGUCGAAUAUGGGAUUUGAGGACCAGACAAAUGUUAUAUUCUAUACCAGCACAUAAGAGUCUCAUCUCGCAUGUGAAAUUCGAACCCCAGGAGGGUUAUUAUUUAGCAACAUCUUCCUAUGACACUAAAGCAGCGCUAUGGUCAACUCGGGAUUACAAACCAAUUAAAAGCUUGUCAGGCCAUGAGUCAAACGUUACUAGUCUGGAUAUUAGUGGAGAUGGACAACAGAUUGUGACUGUUUCACUUGAUAGAACGAUAAAGAUCUGGUCAUGCAGAGGCAGUGCGCGGGAUAAUGAGAUGGAGUUGGAUUAA
rnacentral:rRNA from 1 species